UACAGAGGGUGCGAGCGUUGUCCGGAAUCACUGGGCGUAAAGGGCGCGUAGGUGGCGACCCAAGUCGAUGGUGAAAGCUCGCCGCUCAACGGCGAGUCGGCCACCGAUACUGGGUUGCUGGAGCACUGUAGAGGCAGAUGGAAUUCCGGGUGUAGCGGUGGAAUGCGUAGAGAUCCGGAAGAACACCGGUGGCGAAGGCGGUCUGCUGGGCCAGUUGC
rnacentral:rRNA from 1 species